CGGCGGACGGGUGAGUAACACGUGGAUAACCUACCUAUAAGACUGGGAUAACUUCGGGAAACCGGAGCUAAUACCGGAUAAUAUAUUGAACCGCAUGGUUCAAUAGUGAAAGACGGUUUUGCUGUCACUUAUAGAUGGAUCCGCGCCGCAUUAGCUAGUUGGUAAGGUAACGGCCUACCAAGGCGACGAUGCGUAGCCGACCUGAGAGGGUGAUCGGCCACACUGGAACUGAGACACGGUCCAG
rnacentral:rRNA from 1 species